rnacentral:lncRNA from 1 species
AGUUGCAGCGGCCUGGCCACCUCAGGAGCACGCUGUCUCUUCCCGACGUGCAGCCCGGGGCCCGGCCCUGUCCCCGGGUGACUGCUCCCCGGCAGGACUGCACAUCUGUGGCGGCAGGCCCAGCUCAGGGCUCGGGGGAGGUUCGGCCUUGCCUUCAAAGAGCUCCCUCUCCUGCAGGGCGAGCGCAGAGCGGCGGGCGAGACCACACUGCGUGUGCUGAGGGCGCACUGGUCUUAGCGGGAGGGAAGCCUCACGAGCCUGUACACUUGGAGGAGCCCUAAGCGUUAGGAUCUGCUGCGAGGGCUGCCUGGAACGGAGCCCUGGCUGCAACUAGAAUCAACUGGGGAGCUUUUAAAAUAUCAGUGCCUGGCUCUCACCUCCAGAUUGAUGCUAGAUGGUUGUUCUUAAUGGGAAGAGGCCAAAGCAUGUUUAUAUGCUGUAUGGAGAGUGACAAUGGGAUCCAGCAUACACAUGAAGAGAGUAGCCUCUGGCUAAGGAGAACGGAAAUAGAGUAAGUUCGUCAGUGGAAUGGGAGGAAAUUGAGGGAGUUUUGUCUAAAGGAGUCUAUUUUUUCCUUCAGUCAGAUGUUAGGUAGUUGCUGAACAUGGGGGAUGGGUAGGUGAUGGGAUAAAGAAUUGUAGGGAAGUGGUUCACUCUGGAGUAACUGAUGAUGGAAUGCUGGGAAAGCUUAGUGAACAGCUAAGUGGAAGGCCCCACUGGGUGGGAGACCAUAAGGAGUGUACCAGUUUAGAAGGCUGUGAUGUUUUCCGCAGAGCUAAGUGAGUGGGAGUCAGGAGAGCAGAAAUAGGACCAUUUGGGAUCUGCAGGGAAGCGAGAUGGAAGGCCUUGCUUGGGAGAGGGUUCAGUGAAGGCUGAGUAGAUGAAACUAAACCAAGGGUACACUGAUAAACUGGAUAAACUGAAGAGGUCAAGGAACUCAUAGGUUUGAUAAGGAUGAAGGCCAGGUGUAGUGGGGAAAGAAAACCCAGUCCAACAACUAAAAUUCCAUCCAUUUCAUGGAGCCUUCCUGACUAAUGGGAAAUGAGGUGGCAACUUCCCCCAGGUCCCACCCUGUCUGACUCACUCCUCACUCACUGCUCUUCAAAGGGCCCGUCUCCAUCCUCUUUCUCAAGAAGAGAAACCAUGGAUGUUGUUUCUAAAAGUUCAGCCUGAAAACCACUGUCUGUAUGAACUCAAUUCCCAUGAUUUUUUGAGGCUUUAUAUGUUUCAGCACAAAUAUUAAAUGGAGGUAGGAUAGAGAAGCAGAAAUGGCAAUGAGGAAAAAAAUGGAAAAAGGUAUGCCUGCAUGUUCAUGAGUGAGUCAGCAGAAGAGUGGAGGGAAAAGACAAUAAGACACGGGGUAUCAGCUAUGAAUAGGAACUGAAGGUCCAGAUUGAAGGGCAACAGAACUGGCAGGUGGAGAUGGAAGCAGCCUCCUGGGGGCUGUGUCAAGCUUCUCCAUUCUCCAUCCUGUAAAGGACAAAGGACACUUCCUACACAGUACCCACACAGAAGAGCUGAUGGGAGGGUUAGCCUGUGAGGACGAGAGAGUGAAGAUGAGGGCAAAGGGUUUGCCAGUUAAUAAUUCUGCAUGUUUCUUGGGCCCCAGCCAGCUAGCUGGUAUCCUCUUCCAAAGCAGGCUGGGACCUUGGCUGAAGGAACCAGGGCUGGAAAGACAUCGGGCUGGCAGAGGGGAGAGACUGCAUGCAAACAUUCUUUGUAUCUUCUGCAAUUUGAGAGUUGGCCUGGAACCCUGAAAGUCAGGGCCAAUGUCUGAUCCAUCAGUGGGUAACCAGUGCCUACAUACUAUGGGUAUCAUUCACUGUUCAUUGAACUGAACAAAAGAAACUUAGGAACGGGGAAAGGGAUGUGAUAGAACCUGCAGGAAAAGCUCCGGAGAGAAAGGAGAGGCUUUUUGUUAGGGGGCAAACCAGGGGAUGCUAUCAAGAUGGAGGAAAGGGAGUUAGCAAGAUCCAGAAGACACGUGAGAAGGACCAAGAGGGGAAUGAGAAGCUUAUAAUUCUAUUAGUACUUUUUCUGGCAAGGAUGAAGCCAGCUGCAUUCCCUAUGUUCGAAUGUUUCCAUCCUGUCAGGUAAGUUCUAUGAUCACCUCUUAAUAGAUAAAAAAAAAACUGGAAUCAGAGGUUGAAGGCUUUGCUCAAGGUCACAGACCGGGUAAGGUGAAAGCAACACAGGUGUUUCAGGCUGAGGAAAAAGCACAGACAAAGGAAUGGAUAUAGGAAAACACAGGACAGGUAGAGAAUUGCAAGGGAUUCUGUUUGGCUAAAGCAACAGUCCCCAACCUUUUUGGCACCAGGGACCAGUUUCGUUUUGUGGAAGACAAUUUUUCCAAGGAUGGGGGCUUGUGGUGAUGUGGGGGGCAAGGGGCAGGGGGAUGGUUUCAGGAGGAAACUGUUCCACCUCAGAUCAUCAGGCAUUCAUUAGAUUCUCAUAAGGAGUGCACAGCCUAGAUCCCUUGCAUGCACAGUUCACAAUAGGGUUCCCACUCCUAUGAGAAUCUAAUGCUGCUGCUGACCUGUCAGAAGGCGGAGCUCAGGCAUUAAUGCUUGCUGACUUGCCCACCACUCACCUUCUGCUGUGCGGCCUGGUUCCUAACAGGUCACAGACCAGUACUGGUCCAUGGCCCAGGGGUUGGGGACCCUUGGGCUAAAGGAUAUGGCUAACGAAAGGCCUUCAUAUGAUAGAAGGUUAAUGAGUGGCCCCAGAUCAUGAAAUGUUUUGAAUUUUAAAAAAUGAGUUUACUUUAUAUUGGGGUGUCUCUGAAGAUUUUUUUUUUUUUUUUUGCGACAGAGUCUCACUCUGUCGCCCAGGCUGGAGUGCAGUGGUGCGAUCUUGGCUCACUGCAAGCUCCGCCUCCUGGGUUCACACCAUUCUCCUGCCUCAGCCUCCCGAGUAGCUGGGACUACAGGUGCUCGCCACCACACCCGGCUAAUUUUUUGUAUUUUCAGUAGAGACAGGGUUUCACUGUGUUAGCCAGGAUGGUCUCGAUCUCCUGACCUUGUGAUCCGCCCGCCUCGACCUCCCAAAGUGUUGGGAUUACAGGCGUGAGCCACCACGCCCGGCCCGUCUCUGAAGAUUUUAAGUGGCAGGCUGAUAUGAUCCCCACUGUAUUUUAAAAAGACAAACUUGGGGACGGGCAUAGUGGUUCACACUUGUAAUCCCAACAAUUUGGGAGGCCAAGGUGGGUGGAUCAAUUGAGGUCAGGAGUUAGAGACCAGCCUGGACCAACAUGGUGAAACCCAAUCUCUACUAAAAAUACAAAAUUAGGUGGGUGUGGUGGCGUGUGCCUGUAGUCCCAGCUACUUAGAAAGCUGAGGCAGGAGAAUCGCUUGAACCUGGGAGGUGGAGGUUGCAGUGAACCAAGAUCAUACCACUGCACUCCAGCCUGGGCGACAGAGCAAGACUGUCUCAGAAGAAAGAAAGAAAAAAAGACAAACUUGGCAACAGCAAGGUAUAUUAUCAAGAGGAAAGCAGAAGAAGGCAGGGAUAUCAGCUGGGAGCCAGCUCAGAGGUCUGGGUGUGACAUAACAAAGGCCUGACCUAGAAGAAUGGCAGUGAGAAGGAAGAAAAGGGGAUACAACAGAAAGAGGACCCAGAACUGACAGCAGAUGUCCAGAUGGAUAACUCAGGUGGGACAGGAUGAAGAAAAUGAAUGCAGUUUGGGACAUCCUGAGUUUGAGGUGAGAUGGCCCAUUCAACAAGCAAUCUAAAACACAAUACUGUGCAUUCAGGAGAAAGGACAGAGCUUGAGAAAAAAAUCUGAGGAUUCUCUAUACAGAGGUGAAACCACACAAAGUGGACUGGAGUGUGGUAGCUCUAGUUUUGGCUGUAUUCAGAAACUUUCCCAUCCCCUGCUUUCAUUUCCUUUGAGAAAUUCCCUACCCCAUUGGCUCAUUAAUGCUGGUAGUCUCCCCUACUUCCUCCCAGUCCAAGCUCCUAAUGGCACAUAAUCCAAGCAAAACCAGAGCUCUCCCAUGAGAUGAGUUCGAAUAAUGUAGAGUGGAGAAAUGCAGAGACAGAGUCCAGACAACAUUUGAGCCUCUGAGCCCACCUAGAGGCAUCCACAUAACCCAAAUACAGCUGGUUCUCUUUUUUUUUUUUUUUAUUAAGCCAGUUUAAUUGUAAUUUUGAUUAGGCUAGUUUAAUUGUAAUGUCUUGCAAUCAAAACAGUCUACUAGACCAUCACAUAAAAAUGAGAUUGCUCAGGAGAAAGUAAAAGAGACUAACAGUUACCACUUGAGUGUUGACUAUUUGCCUGAAGGGCCUUUUUAAGAAGCUUGGACUUUAUCUGGUAGAAAAUUAAGAGCUACCUAAAGAUUUAAAUUUAACUUUAAAUAUGUUUUGUUGAAGGUGCUCUUUGAAGUUGGUACUAUAAUCCCAUUCUAUAGAGCUGGAAACUGAGGUUCUUGUAAGUGAAGUAACUUUCUAAGGCCACACAAUGGAUAAGUGUUCAAACCAGGAUAUGAACUUGAAAAUAAAUAAACUGCAAUAGAACUAUGGGUGCUAGAAUGGAAGUAUACAGGGCACAGGAGAGGUACAGUUUAAGAAUGGUCAAGUGUACAGGGGAGGAAGUAGUAAAGACUUUACAGGAGUAGGUGACAUGUGAACUGGAAGGAUGAAUUGUUUAUCAGGUGAAUAAGGGGUUUGGAGCAGGAAAGAGAGAGGGUAUUCUGCGUAGGGCAGAGCAUGUAUAAGCCAUGGAGGUAUGAGGCAACACCUGACUCCCAGCUAUUUCCUUAUGGCUACAGCUGAGAGCACUUAUGGCAAAGUGGCAAGAGUCGUAGAGUAUGCCAUGACAAAACAAAGUCUGAAGGACUGGUGGUCAGUGUGGCGGGAAGAGAGGCAAGCAUGGCACCAAAGAGCUCCGGUUUUGAUCUCCAGUGAAUUACACACAGCCACCCACGAAGAACUGAGCCCGACCUAGCAAGCACAGACAAGCGAGGCAAGAAUUCAUCACAACUGCACAGAGAAAGCUAUGUGUGGUGAAGGGCCUCCUUUAGGGACUGACUGUAGAAAAACUAUGGAACUGAGUGGUUAGCUAGUCUAGACAGGGAAGAGAUACAGUUCAGAAGGCAUGAAAAAGAACAUUUCAGGUGAGAGGUCUUAUCAUUUGGCCUCAAGUCAAAAGAACACAAUUUCUUAAUGAAAGAACGUAGGCAACAACUAGGUGGGAGAAAUACAAUUCACAAAACUAGAUUUGAAAUUGACUUAUCAUGUCAGGUAAUCCAAUGUAAAAAUGCUCCAGUACCUACUCCACACAUUACUAGGGAGAUACCAUGGGGGACGAAAUAUGCACAAAAAGCGUCUCCUGAGGCUAAGCUCCUGAGACAUGAGCACAGGGGAGCUGCAGAGGGAAGGAGAGGUUAUGACCUCUUAGAGGAAUUGGUCAAUCGUUUUUUUCAAGCAACAAUCACUGAGAGCAGAGAGUUCCAGAUGUUACCCUAUGAAUAGAUAAUAUGUAUUGUGCUUCUACUGUUGUCAGCAUUAUCCUAAGCACUUUAUAUAUAUUAACCCAUUUAAACCUCACAGCAACCCUAUGAAAUAGCCAUUAUUAUCGACCCCAGGAAUAAGGAGGCAAAGGCAUAGAGAAGUGAACUAACUUGCCCAAGGCCACACAGCUGGUAAGUAGCACAGCUAGGAUUUGAACUGGGGCAGUCUGGCACGAAAACCUGCUUUUUAAAUCAAAAUGUUAUUUUAUACUACUUCUCCAAAGACAAAUCAUAAUAGUAAUAAUAGUAGCACUACCAUUUAUAGUGUUUAUGAUAUGGGCUAGAUGCUAUAGUAUGCCAGGCACACACAUUAUCUUGCCUAAGAUCACUCAGCUCUCAGGUGGAAGAGCUGGAUUCAAAGUUCAGGAUGCUUGAAUCUGGGAGACAAUAAAGUGCACCAGGAGCUAGAAUAAGUUUGUACAAGGUACAAAUGUGGAGCAUAAAAGAGGAGGUAAUUAAUCUUACCUGGUGGGAGUGGUAUUGAGUUGUGGGUUACUGGAAAACUUCACAACUUCACACAGGGGUGACUUUUUUUUUUCUUUUUUUUCUUUUUUUUUUUUGAGACAAGGUCUGGCUCUGUUGCCCAGGCUGGAGUGCGGCGGCACAACCACAGCUUACUGCAGCCUUGACCUCCCAGGCCCAAGCAAUCCUCUCACCUCAGCCUCCCGAAUGGCUGGGACCACAGGUGUGUGCCACCACACUUGGCUAAUUUUUUAGUAGAGACAGGGUCUUCGUGUGCUGUCCAGGCUGGUCUCGAACUCCUGGGCUCAUGCAGUCCUCACGCCUCAGCCUCCCAAAGUACUGGGAUGACAGGCGUGAACCACUGCACCGGCAAGAGUGGGGUGACUUGUGAGCUGAUUUUUGAAAGAUGAUUGGGUAUUCAUCAGACAGAAUGAUAGGGCAGUGUUCCAUGCAGAGGGAACAGUGGGAAUAAAGGAAUGGAGGUUUGAAAGAGCUGUCACAUUCAGGAAACUGCAAGCAAUGUUGAUGGCUUGGGAAUUGAGUGGGUGGCAUGACAAUAAGAAGGAGGCAGGGGGCUGCAUCACACAGAAUCUUACUUGCCUUUCCAGAAAAUCUGAGCUAUUUUUUAAGUUUUUCCAAUGAAGUAAAUGUAAUGGCCAAAAAGAGUAAAUAAAUAUCCCUAGGGAAUCUGGUGGCUUAGUCUGAAGCUGUUCAGACUAGUAGGAAUUCUUUGAAGACUAUUUUUUCUUAAUAAUGCAUGCAUGCUGGCUGGGUGUGGUGGCUCAUGCCUAUAAUCCCAGCAUGUUGGGAGGCUGAGGCAGGAGGAUCACUUGAGCUCAGGAGUUUGAGACCAGCUUGGGCAAUGUGGCAAAAGCAAUCUCUACCAAAAAUUAAAAAAUUAGCCUGGUAUGGUGGCGCACGCCUGUAGUCACAGCCACUUGGGGGCUGAGGUGGGAGGAUCACUUGAGCUGGGAGAUGGAGGUUGCAGUGAGCCAAGAUCGCACCACUGCACUCUAACCUGUAUGACGCAGUGAGACCGUGUCUCAAAAUAAAAUAAUAAUGCAUGCUAAAUGUGUGUUCUCUGUUUUAAAUUACUCUUAAGUAAAAUGAACAUUCCAGGAUGAUUUUACCUUGUAAUUUUCAGUAUGCCUGGCACACCCACCCCUACCAACCCACCCACCAGGUAUGUUGUCCAUAUGCCCCCAUCUCUACCAAAAAUACAAAAAUUAGCCAGGUAUGGUAGCGAGUGUCUGUAGUCCCAGCUACUUGGGAGGCUGAAGUGGGAGGAUCGCUUGAGCCUGAGAGGCGGAGGUUGCAGUGAGCCAAGAUCGCGCCACUGCACUCUAGUCUGGGUAACAGUGAGACAGACCAUGUCUCAAAAUAAUAAAAUAACAAUACAUGUUAAAUGUGUAUUCUGUUUUAAAUUACCCUUAAAAUGAACAUUCCAGGAAGAUUUUAUCUUGUGAUUUUCAGUAUGUCUGGCACACCCACCCUACAUGGGGAGUAAACUAUCAAAAGGCUUUUAAUCAACGGAAUAAUGUGAUCAGAUCUGCAGUUCAGAAAGACCUAUCUGGCAGCCUUUUGGAAGACAAGUUAAAGUGGGCAGGACUGGAGAUAAAGGAUUUUAAUCAGGGGAGUAAUGUGAUCAGAUCUGCAAUUUAGAAAGACCUAUCUGUAGCCUUUUGGAAGAUGAGUUAGAGUGGGCAUGGCUAGAGAUAUGGAGUCUGAACAAUACUUUUAGUAAGAGAGGCCUAGAGCCUAAACUGUAGGACAGGGUGGAUGGACACUGGGGAGACAGAAUUGGUAGGAUUUAGUAUCUGAUUAGGUAUGAGGGGGUUGGGGACCCAGAGGGAGAAUAAUUUAGAAUGGUUUCCAUAUUCCUGGCUUAGAAGAGAAACAGGUGUGUAGGCUAGAAUAACUGGAUUUGGACAUUCAACCAGCUGUGGAUCAUACAGGUAGAGAUAUCCAUCAGGAAUCUGCAGCUCAGCAAAGAGGUCUGAGCUGAAAAUAAAACUCGCUUAAAUUAUGCACAUAAAAGUGGUGGUCACAGAAAGCAGGUAGAAGAAGAAGAAAAGGGGGUUAAGGACAAGUCCUAGAGAAUAACAUUUAAGAAGCAGGAAGAAGUAUAAAAGUCCAAAAGCUGCAGAGAAGGAAUGGCCAGAGAGGAGGAUGAACAAGGAGAGCAUGUGCCAUAGAAGCCAUGGGGGAGAAAGAGACUAAAGGAAAUGGUCAGCAUUAAAUGCUGCAGAUACAUUACUAUGAGGAUUGAAAAAACUCUGGAUUUAGCCAUUAGGUCAACAGUGAUCUCUGAGUUUCUGAGGAGUGGUGGAAGUAGAAGCCCAAACACAGGGGUUGAAAAGUGAAUGGGAGGUAAAAGAAACAGUGAUUCUAAGCACUUUGUUUCAAGAGCAUGGCGCGAGUGAGUCAGUGAGAGGGGAUGUAGGGUUAAGAAGGAUCUUUUAACAUGGAAGAGACACUAAAAUGGCACUAUCUAAGGCCAUGAAAUGUAGCCCAGAGAAACUGGCAAAAAGAAUGAAGGAUAGACUGGGUGUGGUGGCUCACACCUGUAAUCCCAGCACUUUGGGAGGCUGAGGUGGGAGGAUCGCUUGAGCUCAGGAGUUUGAGACCAGCCAGGGCAACAUAGAGACCCUGUCUCCAUUAAAAAUAAUAAUAAUUUAAAAAUUAGCUGGGCAUGGUGGCACAUGCCUGUGGUCCCAGCUACUUGGGAGGCUGAGAGGUGGGAGGAUCACUUGAGCCUAGAGGACCACCUGAGUUGCAGGAUCACAGUGAGAGGUGAUUGUGCC